rnacentral:antisense_RNA from 1 species
CUUGACCGAGCCCAGCCGCAGCGGCUCGGACCGGUCCUGGCCGUAGGUCGCCAGCAGCGCCUGCGCCUC